rnacentral:rRNA from 1 species
UGGGGAAUCUUGGACAAUGGGGGCAACCCUGAUCCAGCCAUGCCGCGUGAGUGAUGAAGGCCUUAGGGUCGUAAAGCUCUUUCGCCUGUGAAGAUAAUGACGGUAGCAGGUAAAGAAACCCCGGCUAACUCCGUGCCAGCAGCCGCGGUAAUACGGAGGGGGUUAGCGUUGUUCGGAAUUACUGGGCGUAAAGCGCACGUAGGCGGACCAGAAAGUUGGGGGGUGAAAUCCCGGGGGCUCAACCCCGGAACUGCCUCCAAAACUAUUGGUCUAGAGUUCGAGAGAGGUGAGUGGAAUUCCAAGUGUAGAGGUGAAAUUCGUAGAUAUUUGGAGGAACACCAGUGGCGAAGGCGGCUCACUGGCUCGAUACUGACGCUGAGGUGCGAAAGUGUGGGGAGCAAAACAGGAUUAGAUACCCUGGUAGUCCCACACCGUAAAACGAUGAAUGCCCAGUCGUCGGGUAGCAUGCUAUUCGGUGACACACCUAACGGAUUAAGCAUU